CUGGACGUUUGCUUUCUUCCUGUUUAGAGUACGAGUUGUUUGCUUUCAUCAGUCACAUGGGGACGAGCACCAUGUGUGGCCACUAUGUCUGUCACAUCAAGAAGGACCAACAAUGGGUCAUCUUCAAUGAUCAGAAGGUCUGUGCUUCAGAGAAACCUCCCAAAGACCUGGGCUACCUGUAUUUCUACCGUAGAGUGGCCGACUGAGGCGGAGCAGCGUUUCACUUCAGGAGGAGAAGACGAAGACGACGACGCCAUCAAACCACAAACAGCAAGCUCUUACAAAUGCUCUGGCACGCUUCACAACUGACAAACAUGUAAAUAAGGAAGUCUUUCAGAUUGCUUAUAAACGGUUAAAUAAAUUGGUGCAAAUGUACAGAUAAGUGUUGUUGGGGGGUUGUGUGUGUUGCUGUUCCUCUGUAUCCACUGAUAAAUAACCACAGGCCUGUGUGAGCAUCGACUCAGGUUGUCACCAGAGCAACUUUGACUUAAAGCCAGAACUAAUCCAGACCUGAUAAAAGCACGAGAUCCGGGGUCUGCUCUGAAAAAAAAAAUGGUCUCAUGAUUGGGAAAACUUGCUUGAUGGAACAAACACUCCAAACAUCGACUGACUUGGGACCGCUGAGCUCAUGAUUGACAAGUUUACGCUGAUCUUUCCCGACUAUUGAUCUCCACUGCCAUCAGUAGUCACUGCCCGUAUUCGUUAAAACAUGUCGCUCUUCAGGCCCGCCUUCUCGUUUGACUGGGAAAUCGCACCGCUCUAGUUAGACUCAACCUCUACUACCUGUUUAAGUGCUACAAACACUCGUAGGGGAAAAAAGAGAAAAGUUAUAAGAGUAAAAACACCAAAUCAACAUGUUUUCCUUAAGCGUUCGGUGAGGGUGAUUCUUGGGUGACUCGUGUUUUAUUUUGUUAUUUUCAAAACGAAUGCUUUGUUACUUCUGCUGUGAAAAAUAAAGGUUUUUCCUCUC